GGGCUGCAGCUGCUUCCUGCUGAAGCCCUGGGUUCAUGACCAGUUUCCUCUGAAGGCAUUCCUGACCCAGGGAUUCUGUAGUGGCGUGCUACAGCCCAAGCUGUGUCUCCAGACUGAUCAUAUGGGAAGAUGCAGCACCUAUUUCUAGGAUCCCUUGAUUUAUAUUUUGAAGCAUACAUGAAAUCCCAUCCAGACACAAGGGAAGCUGUUAAAGGCGGCUCUGUAGGGACCAUAUUACAGGUAAUUGGACAGUGGAGCCAUUUCAUAAUUGUCGAGUUAAAAACCUGCGUAGAAAGAGUAACAAGCCCAGCAGUUUCUAUUCUGGUCUGUUCCUGGAUGGACAGAACCCAAAGGUAUAGGAAUGGCAGUUUGGGGGAGUGGGCAGCCCUGGAGCAGCAUCGGGGUGCAGGCACUCGGGUAGCCGCCUCACUGCCUGCUCACCUCCAGCAUUCCAGAGGGACUCAGGAGAGCCUGAGGCAGCUGUGGCAUCCCUGGCUCUCAGGACCUGUGCUCUCCCUGAGAAUUCAGUCUUUAUUAGCCCUGCUAUGUGUUGCCCAUGCCUGGGUUCUCCCCAGCCACUGCCAGUCCAGGAGGAGGGAUCUGGGUCUAGGAUGCUCUGGUGAUGAUCUAUAACAGCUGCAGGCAAUGUUCAAAAUCACAAACCUUGGAGCUAUCAGAUGCCACGAGUGUGGACACCCAGCAUCCCCCCGACACCUGUGCAGAGGAUGGGAGGGGCCUUUGACAUCCCCAAAGAGUGGGCUGCAGUUUCUGUGAUGCUUUUUAGAUACCAACCCCGGCGCUUUAGGGAUUUUAGGAGAUAAAGAGUGAAGGUUAGUGGCAGCUCAGGAUCCCGUAGGGGCUAGACCACAUUUAACUUAACUGUGGUUCACAAGUGCACAAGUUAGGUGGCAGUCGUGUGGUAACUUACUGUUCAUGGGGAUUAUGCAGUGGGGAUGGGCAGUGGCCUGUUCCCCAGAGUUGCUCUGGUUCUAGGUAUAAUUUCCUGGAACCGGGAACACUGACUGGAGAAUGGCCCCAUAUGCCUUCUUGUCUUGCUGGCUUCAAGAUCAGAAAAUGGCAUAUUUGAUAUGAUAUGUUUGAGAAGACAAAAAAUAAAGUGACUCUGGGCAGAAUUUGCCUUUUCUUCCUCUUAUACAUUCAUGUUAUUUCUGAAAAUACAGUUUAUGAACUUUUUUUUUUUGUCUUUUUGAGACAAGGUCUCCUUGGAGCCCCAGCUGGCCUGGAACUCACUGUGUAAACCAGGCUGGCCUUGAACUCACAGAGAUCUGCCUGCUCUGCCUCCCGAGUGCUGGGACUAAAGGCGUGCACCACCACACGCAGCCAAUUUAUGAACUUAUGAGAAUAAAAUGAACAAAGAGCUAUACUAAGAAACUAAACACCACCCUACCCCUUCCAUAUCCUCCACCCCUGGUGGAUCUACCCCAUGUCCCCCUGGAGGGUCAUUCCACUCCAUUAUAGUCUUGGGGGGGGUCCCUUCCCGGUCUUCUCCAGGGCUAUCUGCAUCACAUGUUGCCCUGUGAUGUGCUCUUUUUCUAGUGCAGCUGUGCCCCGGCCCAGGACAGCUGUGCUGCGUUGAGCAUGAGAACCCCUCUGUCUCCACACAACCAGCCCUAGUGGCAGCUGUGACCAUCUGUGGCCACAUGUCACCCACCUCACUUGACCUGGAGAUAGGUGAGG
ensembl:lincRNA